rnacentral:rRNA from 1 species
CAAAAACAUCGCCUCCCGCAAAAAUCAACGUAUAGGAGGUCUUGCCUGCCCAGUGACUGUAAGUUAAACGGCCGCGGUAUUUUGACCGUGCAAAGGUAGCGCAAUCACUUGUCUUUUAAAUGAAGACCUGUAUGAAUGGUGGAACGAGGGCUUAACUGUCUCCCCCCUCUAGUCAAUGAAAUUGAUCUACCCGUGCAGAAGCGGGUAUAACUAUACAAGACGAGAAGACCCUUUGGAGCUUAAGAUAAAAGACCAACUAUGUUAAAAGCCCUAAAAUUAAAGCCUAAACCAAAUAGCACUGGUCCUAAUCUUCGGUUGGGGCGACCACGGGAGAAAAUAAAGCUCCCAUGCAGACUGGGGCAACCCCCUAAAACUAAGAAAAACAUUUCUAAGACACAGAACACCUGACUAAAAGAUCCGGCUAUAUGCCGACCAACGAACCAAGUUACCCUAGGGAUAACAGCGCAAUCCCCUUCCAGAGUCCAUAUCGACAAGGGGGUUUACGACCUCGAUGUUGGAUCAGGAUAUCCUAAUGGUGCAGCCGCUAUUAAGGGUUC